GACGAACGCUGGCGGCGUGCUUAACACAUGCAAGUCGAACGGAAAGGCCCUGCGUUUGUGGGGUGCUCGAUUGGCGAACGGGUGAGUAACACGUGAGUAACCGGCCCUUGACUUUGGGAUAACUUCAGGAAACUGGGGCUAAUACCGGAUAGGAGCUCCUGCUGCAGGGUGGGGGUGGGAAAGUUUCGGCGGUUGGGGAUGGACUCGCGGCUUAUCAGCUUGUUGGUGGGGUAGCGGCUUACCAAGGCUUUGACGGGUAGCCGGACUGAGAGGGUGACCGGGUCCAUUGGGCUGGGGAUACGGCCAAGACUCAUAAGGGAGGAAGGAGUGGGGACUAUAGCCAAACGGGCCGCAGGCUGAUGGAGCAACGCCGGGUGCGGGAUGACGGCUUUUGGGUUGGAAAACGAUUUGGUUUGUGCCGCGGCGUUCGGGAGGGUAAUGGAGAAGAAGCACCGGCUAACUACGUG
rnacentral:rRNA from 1 species